ACCACUGUUGAUGUCAGUGGUCUAGAGAACCACUGUUGUUGUCAGUGGUCUAGAGAACCACUGUUGAUGUCAGUGGUCUAGAGAACCACUGUUGUUGUCAGUGGUCUAGAGAACCACUGUUGUUGUCAGUGGUCUAGAGAACCACUGUUGUUGUCAGUGGUCUAGAGAACCACUGUUGUUGUCAGUGGUCUAGAGAACCACUGUUGAUGUCAGUGGUCUAGAGAACCACUGUUGAUGUCAGUGGUCUAGAGAACCACUGUUGAUGUCAGUGGUCUAGAGAACCACUGUUGAUGUCAGUGGUCUAGAGAACCACUGUUGAUGUCAGUGGUCUAGAGAACCACUGUUGAUGUCAGUGGUCUAGAGAACCACUGUUGAUGUCAGUGGUCUAGAGAACCACUGUUGAUGUCAGUGGUCUAGAGAACCACUGUUGAUGUCAGUGGUCUAGAGAACCACUGUUGAUGUCAGUGGUCUAGAGAACCACUGUUGAUGUCAGUGGUCUAGAGAACCACUGUUGAUGUCAGUGGUCUAGAGAACCACUGUUGAUGUCAGUGGUCUAGAGAACCACUGUUGAUGUCAGUGGUCUAGAGAACCACUGUUGAUGUCAGUGGUGUGAAGAAGGCUGCUCCUCUAACCAUUGUGAAGGGCUACAGCCUUUCAGUGUCAAAUCCAUAGGGUUUCUGUGGUUAAGUCUCUCUGCUGUAAUCCCUGUGCUCAUAUUAAGUAUCUCCCUCAAUGUCAUUAGUACAUAAGCCUGCCAGACCUGGGUUGAAUGACUAUUUCAGAUCUCAAUUACUUUCACAUGCAUUCAAAGUAUUCAUAUCUUACAUUUGAAAAGACAAGUUGUUGAAUAUUUUAAUGUAUUUGGAAAUACACUUGGAAAGUAGUUGAUAUACUCAAAUACACUCUCAUGUAUUUGAAAAUGCAAAUAACCAUUCAAAUACUCAAAAGUACUUGUUUUGGGCUAUGCAUUUGAAAAUACUCAAAUAGUUUUUAAUUUUAUUUUUAAAUACCAGAUACUGUGAACCCAGUACUGAAUCCUACAUGAUGUCUAUGCACAUGUGUGGGAAAAGGGCACCGCACAUUGCAUUCUAUGUUCCUAAUGUGGUUUAUUGGUGAAAAUGUUGGUCACCAAUCAACCACAUGGCAGCAUGGGUCUAGAUUGCGACCUGCAGAGUCUCAUAGGUCUAGAUUGCGACCUGCAGAGUCUCAUAGGUCUAGAUUGCGACCUGCAGAGUCUCAUAGGUCUAGAUUGCGACCUGCAGAGUCUCAUAGGUCUAGAUUGCGACCCGCAGAGUCUCUAAUUCUACCAUUUACUGUUUUGAUGUCCAUUGGCUGCUCAAAGACAGUGGAUGUGAUCUUUUCUUGUAGCAUGUCUUAUCUCCCUUCUCUCUCUGUCUCCUCCCAUCCAG